rnacentral:misc_RNA from 1 species
AUCUGGUUGUGAGCGUAAUUGGAGUAUCUUUGAGCAUGUAAGUAACAAAACAUGUCUCUUUACAAUUAUACUUUUAAUUUAUUCUUUCUUAAAAAUUACUGAUUAAAAUUGUUAUAUUUUACAGAUUCAUAGUAAAAAAAGAAAUAGGCUAGCUCAACAAAGAUUGAAUGAUUUGGUGUUUGUGAAGUAUAAUCGGGCAUUAAGGCGCCGAUAUGAUGCACGUCACCGCAUUGACCCCAUUUCAUUGAAAGACAUAGAUAAUAGUAAUGAAUGGUUGAUGAGUCAAAUGGAAGAAGAGUUAGAAAAUGAUGAACUUGUGUUUGAGGAUGACAAUUUGACUUGGAAUGCGGUUGCUGAAGCUAUUGGAGUUGAAGAGGAUGCCUACAAUACUAGAUCCGAGAAAGGAAAAAAUAUAGCAUCUGCAGUUGCUUCAAGAUCUAUGUCAAAGCAUAAAGGAAAGCCACCAUCUAGAGCUGAUACUCCUUUACUUAGAGAAGAGACAUCUUCUGAAGAAGAUGAAGAUAUUGAUUUUGAAGAAGAUGAGUAUGAAGAGGACGAAGCUGAAGGGGAAGAUAAGGAAGAUCUUAAUGCUGCUUUUGAUAUAGAUUGAAGUGUAGUGAACUAGUUAUUUUGUAAUUAGUAAUUAGUACUUUAGUUUUGAUUACUAAUGCUACUCUUCAUAUAGAUUGAAGAGUAGUUAACUAGUUAUUUUGUAACUAGUUAUUUUGUAACUAGUUAACUACUUUCUUUCUUGGAUUUUGAUUACUAGUAUGACUAGUGUCUAUCAUGUUAAUAUGUUAAGAUUGUGACACUUUAUAUUAGUUUCUUAAAAUAAAGUAGUUCAUUUUUAUUCUAUUUGGAUUGUAAAAUUAUUAUUACCUUAUGUUUAUUACUUAUUAUUAUGUUUAGUUUUAUGCUAGUUAAAAUUUGAUGGAAUAUUUACAUUUACUUUUUUUUUUCCGGCCUCUCACCUUGCUCAAGCGCACCUGCGUCUGCACCUUGCACCUAGGCUCUAGGACCCCUUGGUGCCUUAAUGCGUCUUGAGCAUUCAAUAACUAUGAAUACAAAUACACCAACAUUCUUUAGUUUUCAUGCCCCUGAUUCAUCUAGACAGAAUAAACAAAACAUUUCCCAUUCUUUUCUUUCUUCAAUGAAAGCCAGACCUUAAUGGUCUCCGUAUAAAAGAAUUAUUCAAAAAAAAUGAAAGAACAAGACCACUGAAGUAAAUCUGGUUGCCUACCAAUAGAAAUGACAUGCAAAACAGAUUUCCUCCGGAGAAGUCCAAAACAAACACAGAAAAACAUGAGGCACAUUUUCCCAGAGCACAUUAAUCCAAUAAAAUUUUUUGACAGGGGUAAUAUGCACAUAUCCCAAAAAAUGUGCAAAUGGCUGGAUACAAAAUAAACUCCUCACAACUUAGAGACCCACCUAAUUUUUAACAGAGCUAGAAAGAUUAUUCUACCAGUUAUAAAUGCCUCGCAACUUAUAAAAAAGAAGGACUCCAACAGGUUCCAUUACACAACACCUAAGCCCUCUUGAGGUAAACUGAGUUUAUACUCAACUUAUGGUUAGAAUGAAGGGAAAGGGAAUGCAAAAAAUGCUGACAUCAACCAUCAGGCAUCAAAUGAAUUGAUGCCACUAUCUGCCCACCAAUACCAGUUAAUACAAGCCGAUUUGUUCUCAAAGAAAGAUAACAGAGAUAGAGACAACAUAAAAUUUUUGGGAGUGAUGAAGUCAGAAGUAGAUGAAAAAUGGAAGGACAUAGGCUGCUUUUUUAUCCAUGGCAACCACAAUACCCCAUACAUCUUACAAAGUCACAGUACUUUACCUCAUGUACCAAUGUUUGACAGUGUAAAAAAAUAGCAUGCAAAUAAAAGGCAGUCUCACAAAAUCAGACCAAUGAGGAAAAAAGUCACUGAACACAAACCAGUGUUGUUAAAGGCGACGAUAGGCGCUGGAUAAGGUGAGCCGAUGACACCUCGCCUGGCUGAGGCAAGUCCAAUUGAAAGAGGCCAACAGCCAACACAGGUAAGGCGAGAGGCGCAGGGUGACCAAGGUGACUAUUGAGCUAAAUAACAUACACUUUCCCUUUCUUUAAUUUUUUUUUAAACAGCAUAAAAAAAAUUUAAAAAAAAAACCUAAGCUAAGUCUUCAACUCACGCCACCAGCAGCACUUUGAGUUCGCCACCAGUUGGAGAAGACAGCCAAACCAGGUAUUUCUUCCUUCCUCUC